rnacentral:rRNA from 1 species
UAGGGAAUCUUCCGCAAUGGGCGAAAGCCUGACGGAGCAACGCCGCGUGAGUGAUGAAGGUCUUCGGAUCGUAAAACUCUGUUUUUAGGGAAGAACAAAUGUGUAAGUAACUACGCACGUCUUUACGGUACCUAAUCAGAAAGCCACGGCUAACUUCGUGCCAGCAGCCGCGGUAAUACGUAGGUGGCAAGCGUUAUCCGGAAUUAUUGGGCGUAAAGCGCGCGUAGGCGGUUUUUUAAGUCUGAUGUGGAAGCCAACGGCUCAACCGUGGAGGGUCAUUGGAAACUGGGAAACUUGAGUGCAGAAGAGGAAAGUGGAAUUCCAUGUGUAGCGGUGAAAUGCGCAGAGAUAUGGAGGAACACCAGUGGAGAAGGCGACUGUCUGGUCUGUAACUGACACUGAUGUGCGAAAGCGUGGGGAUCAAACAGG